rnacentral:rRNA from 1 species
CACGUAGGGGGCAAGCGUUAUCCGGAUUUAUUGGGCGUAAAGCGCGCGCAGGCGGCCGAUCAAGCGGGACUUAUAAUCUUAGGGCUCAACCCCAAGUCGGGUCCCGAACUGGUUGGCUCGCGUCAGGUAGAGGCAGGCGGAAUUCCCGGUGUAGCGGUGGAAUGCGCAGAUAUCGGGAAGAACACCAACGGCGAAGGCAGCCUGCUGGGCCUUGACGGACGCUGAGGCGCGAAAGCUGGGGGAGCGAACA